GAUGAACGCUGGCGGCGUGCCUAAUACAUGCAAGUAGAACGCUGAAGGAAGGAGCUUGCUCUUUCCGGAUGAGUUGCGAACGGGUGAGUAACGCGUAGGUAACCUGCCUGGUAGCGGGGGAUAACUAUUGGAAACGAUAGCUAAUACCGCAUAACAGUAGAUGUUGCAUGAUAUCUACUUAAAAGGUGCAAUUGCACCACUACCAGAUGGACCUGCGUUGUAUUAGCUAGUUGGUGAGGUAACGGCUCACCAAGGAGACGAUACAUAGCCGACCUGAGAGGGUGAUCGGCCACACUGGGACUGAGACACGGCCCAGACUCCUACGGGAGGCAGCAGUAGGGAAUCUUCGGCAAUGGACGGAAGUCUGACCGAGCAACGCCGCGUGAGUGAAGAAGGUUUUCGGAUCGUAAAGCUCUGUUGUAAGAGAAGAACGAGUGUGAGAGUGGAAAGUUCACACUGUGACGGUAUCUUACCAGAAAGGGACGGCUAACUACGUG
rnacentral:rRNA from 1 species